rnacentral:rRNA from 1 species
AACGAACGCUGGCGGCAUGCCUAACACAUGCAAGUCGAACGAAGUCUUCGGACUUAGUGGCGCACGGGUGCGUAACGCGUGGGAAUCUGCCCUUGGGUACGGAAUAACUCAGAGAAAUUUGUGCUAAUACCGUAUAAUGUCUUCGGACCAAAGAUUAUCGCCCAAGGAUGAGCCCGCGUAAGAUUAGCUAGUUGGUGGGGUAAAAGCCUACCAAGGCGACGAUCUUUAGCUGGUCUGAGAGGAUGAUCAGCCACACUGGGACUGAGACACGGCCCAGAAUCCUACGGGAGGCAGCAGUGGGGAAUAUUGGACAAUGGGCGAAAGCUUGAUCCAGCAAUGCCGCGUGAGUGAUGAAGGCCUUAGGGUUGUAAAGCUCUUUUACCAGGGAUGAUAAUGACGGUACCUGGAGAAUAAGCUCCGGCUAACUCCGUGCCAGCCGCCGCAGUAAAAC